rnacentral:rRNA from 1 species
AGUGGAUGGGGAACAACCUAGUUGUGCGUGUGUAAAGGUAGUGCCAAGAAAAGCGGUGAUCAUGAUGAAAAUCAAUUCCCGGUACCCGAAACCGACACAGGUGGGCAAGUAGAGAAUACUAAGGGGCGCGAGGUAACUCUCUCCAAGGAACUCGGCAAAAUGACCCCGUAACUUAGGGAGAAGGGGUGCCACCGAGAGGUGGUCGCAGUGAAGAGGCCCAGGCGACUGUUUAGCAAAAACAUAGGUCUCUGCAAACUCGAAAGAGGAGGUAUAGGGGCUGACGCCUGCCCAGUGCCGGAAGGUUAAAGAAGUUGGUCAGUCUUAGGAUGAAGCUAGCGACUGAAGCCCCGGUGAACGGCGGCCGUAACUAUAACGGUCCUAAGGUAGCGAAAUUCCUUGUCGGGUAAGUUCCGACCCGCACGAAAGGCGUAACGAUCUGGGCGCUGUCUCGGAGAGAGGCUCGGCGAAAUAGGAUUGUCUGUGAAGAUACGGACUACCUGCAUUUGGACAGAAAGACCCUAUGAAGCUUUACUAUAGCUUGGAAUUGUGUUCGGGCUUCCUGUGCGCAGGAUAGGUGGGAGGCGUAGAAGGUAUUCUUGUGGGGAUGCUGGAGGCAACGGUGAGAUACCACUCUCAGGAGGCUAGAAUUCUAACUUAAUUAAGGACAGUUUCAGGUGGGUAGUUUGACUGGGGCGGUCGCCUCCAAAAAGGUAACGGAGGCGUACAAAGGUUCCCUCAGACUGGUUGGAAAUCAGUCGCAGAGUGCAAAGGCAGAAGGGAGCUUGACUGCGAGAAGUACAGUUCGAGCAGGGUGGAAACACGGUCUUAGUGAUCCGACGGUGCUGUGUGGAAGGGCCGUCGCUCAACGGAUAAAAGUUACUCUAGGAUAACAGGCUGAUCUCCCCCAAGAGUUCACAUCGACGGGGAGGUUUGGCACCUCGAUGUCGGCUCAUCGCAACCUGGGGCGGAAGUACGUCCCAAGGGUUGGGCUGUUCGCCCAUUAAAGCGGUACGUGAGCUGGGUUCAGAACGUCGUGAGACAGUUCGGUCCAUAUCCGAUGUAGGCGUGAGAAUAUUGAGAGGAGCCUUCCUUAGUACGAGAGGUCCGGGAAGGACGCACCGCUGGUGUACCUGUUAUGAUGCCAAUUGUAAACGCAGGGUAGCCAAGUGCGGAGAGGAUAACCGCUGAAAGCAUCUAAGUGGGAAGCCCACCUCAAGAUGAGUAUUCUGGUGUAAGGUCACGGGAAGACGACCCGUAAAUAGGCACGAGGUGGAAGUGCAGAGAUGUAUGAAGCCGAAGUGUACUAAUAGACCGUCGGCUU